ensembl:antisense Gm12214 predicted gene 12214
AUUGAAGUUAGAUAGGAGCAGGAAGCCCCGGUGUGGCAUCCCUCAGCAAGAGAGUCAUUAAGUAUCAUCUAUCUAAAGGGGCUAGGAGAAAGGAUGCUAAGGUUGGGUAUGUUAUCCUUGGCUACAUUACCAGUUUGAGGCCAGCCUGCGCUACAGGAAUUUCUUUUAUGCGUAUACAAAAAGGUUAAACACUUUGCAUAUAUGGACAUAGAUAGGUUUAACUGACUACAGGACAUAAAUAUAAAUGGAAACAGCAUAUGGUAUCCCUUGCAUUUGCACAGUUUUGUGGGGUUUUUGCAUCUGUUGACAAUUUAACUUAAAUUGUGAAGUCCUGUCACCAUGGAGCAGCUCAGCCUCAGCCUUCCAUUGCCCACUCUGUACUCAUCACACCAAGGAACUCUUGCAGGUAAUCCAGGA